GAGAAGUUUUAUUCUUGCUUGUUCAUUCAUUGUUUGAUUGUCCUAUAUGUAAGUUCUUGCGUGAUUAGUGUGGGUUGGCUCUAGAUGGGUUACUUGGGGUUGUUCUAGUUGUGGUUGACUGGGUUGUAGUUCUCAUUAGUUAUUAUUAUUGUUCAAGUGUUCUUGUGUUAGCAAUUCAUUUUAGGUUCGGUUAUAAUUUGUGCCAGCAGCCGCGGUUAUACUCUGGAGGCGUUUGAAUGUGUUUGGGUUUGCAGUUGUAUGUGGAGUUUUAUGGGGUUUCUUCUGUAGGUUGUUGGGUGGAAUCUUUUAUUUUUGGUUAGUCCCUGUUUGUUUUGUUUGGAGGCUGUGAAAUUCUUUUUUUAGACUAGGAUUAGAUACCCUAUUAUUUUGAAUGUUAAUUUUGUUUGCCUGAGUAGUAUUAGUUAUGUUCUUGAAACUUAAAGAAUUUGGCGGUGCCUUAUAUCUGCUUAGAGGAAUCUGUCUCGUUAUCGAUGGUCCGCGUUGGACCUUACUUAGUUUCUUAUAGGCUUGUAUACCGCCGUUUAUUGAUCAUCUUUUUAGGGUUAUUUAAUUUUCUGGUUUCUUAUUGUUGGGUUUAUUUCAGGUCAAGGUGCAGCUUGUUUCUAAGUGUUGAUGGAUUACACUGGUAUUGUGUGUUGGUUCUGAUUGUUGGGUGGAAUUCCUGGCAUGAGGUUGGAUUUAAUUGUAAUGUUUUGUAGAUUGUUUUCAUGAUAGUGGCCCUGAGGCAUGUACACAUCGCCCGUCGCUCUCGCUUGUUGUUAGUGAGAUAAGUCGUAACAAAGUGGUCGUACCGGAAGGUGCGGCUGGAAUGAG
rnacentral:ncRNA from 1 species